rnacentral:lncRNA from 1 species
GUGAGUUUUUGUUGGGGAUUUUGUUUUUAAGUAAAUUCUCUUAAGACUAUGCUAGGGCAAGUAGAAUGUGAUGACACCAGAAGUGAAAGGAUCCUGAAAUCCUGGCAUCAGGAUGUGCGGGGUUUUAGGAAUGGCAGUGUGGCUCAAAAAGACUUCUUAUGAGAAACAAAAAGACUCCCAAUUCUCUUCUUCAAGGCACCUUUGGUUACCAACCAUUUAGGAGACUGAGCCCUAAGCCUUUCCCCCCACCCCGCCGCCCCCACUGUGUACAAAAGACAAGAUGCUGUGAACAUGAGGAUAAUAUCCACUAGAAGCCUCUAUCAUUCAUUUUGGCUUUGUGACAACUUCCCUGGAAACUCAACAUCUUGAGGGGUGAAGUUGGUUUUUGUUUGUUUUUUUUUAAAGGUUGGCACCUGAGCUAACAACUGUUGCCAAUCUUUUUUGUUUCCUGCUUUUUUCUCCCCGAAUCCCCUCAGUAUAUAGUUGUAUAUUUUAGUUGUGGGUCCUUCUAGUUGUGGCAUGUGGGACAUCACCUCAACGUGGCCUGAUGAGCAGUGCCAUGUCCGCGCCCAGGAUCCGAACCGGCGAAACCCUGGGUCACCGAAGAGGAGCGUACAAACUUAACCACUCGGCCCCUUAGGAUGAAAUUUUUUUACUGCAAAGUUUCAGUGUCACUUUAGUGAGAUCAUAGAACACUCUUUUCUUGCACUAGAACCAGGCAGAAAGUCUCACUCACUUACAGCCAGCACAGUCCCCAGGCUCAUUAUGGCCUAACUGGUCACCUAAAGUAAUGAAAGGGGGAACAGCUUAUUCUUGUUCCAGUUGCCAUUUGACCAAAAUCCUACCAGAGUCACCUAUCUGUGAGCGUUUAUUCCUCACUAUGGAAUGUAACUCUUGCUCAUCCCUGAAAAACUUGAGUGACCCGUUAUAUUGAAUGGUGAACCCAUUCCAGAAGGUGGACUGAACUGGCUCCAGAACUGGUGAAAGCAUCCUUUUUGCUUCACAUUUCGGGACUCUUGUGAAUUAUCAGCACAUCAAGCCCUAACUAGAAAUGCAAGAUCUUUCAAAUUUCACGAACUACAGCAGGUAGUGCAGUGUCAACUCAUUGAGGAGAACGGAAGAGAUGACGGGACCCUGCAGGCAGAAAGAGAAAUGACCUUCCAUGUGUGCAAGAAUAAUGAAGAAUUUAAGGGAGAAAAAUGUUUCACCUGCAGGAAGAUGGAUUCUGAGCUAUCAGUUAAAAUCUAAGAAAAUUGCCAGGAGUCAUUGUCAACUCUUUCC